rnacentral:rRNA from 1 species
GACGAACGCUGGCGGCGUGCCUAAUACAUGCAAGUAGAACGCUGAAGGAGGAGCUUGCUUCUCUGGAUGAGUUGCGAACGGGUGAGUAACGCGUAGGUAACCUGCCUGGUAGCGGGGGAUAACUAUUGGAAACGAUAGCUAAUACCGCAUAAUAGCAGUUGUUGCAUGAUAACUGUUUGAAAGGUGCAAUUGCACCACUACCAGAUGGACCUGCGUUGUAUUAGCUAGUUGGUGGGGUAACGGCUCACCAAGGCGACGAUACAUAGCCGACCUGAGAGGGUGAUCGGCCACACUGGGACUGAGACACGGCCCAGACUCCUACGGGAGGCAGCAGUAGGGAAUCUUCGGCAAUGGACGGAAGUCUGACCGAGCAACGCCGCGUGAGUGAAGAAGGUUGUCGGAUCGUAAAGCUCUGUUGUAAGAGAAGAACGAGUGUGAGAGUGGAAAGUUCACACUGUGACGGUAUCUUACCAGAAAGGGACGGCUAACUACGUG